rnacentral:rRNA from 1 species
GACGUAGGGUGCGAGCGUUGUCCGGAUUUAUUGGGCGUAAAGAGCUCGUAGGCGGCUCGUCGCGUCGACCGUGAAAACCCGCAGCUUAACUGCGGGCUUGCGGUUGAUACGGGCGGGCUAGAGUUCGGUAGGGGAGACUGGAAUUCCUGGUGUAGCGGUGAAAUGCGCAGAUAUCAGGAGGAACACCGGUGGCGAAGGCGGCGACCUGGGUAGAUACUGACGCUGAGGUGCGAAAGCGUGGGGAGCAAACAGG